GACGAACGCUGGCGGCGUGGAUUAGGCAUGCAAGUCGAACGGUAUCAUCCUUUCGGGGGUGAGAGAGUGGCGAACUGGUGAGUAACACGUAGGUUAUCUACCCUCAAGACGGGGACAACCCAGGGAAACUUGGGCUAAUACCGGAUGUGAGCAACUUUUAGUUGUUUGAAAGGUGGCGUAAGCUGUCGCUUGGGGAUGAGCCUGCGUCCUAUUAGUUAGUUGGUGAGGUAACGGCUCACCUAGGCAAUGAUAGGUAGGCGGCCUUAACGGGUGGUCGCCCACACUGGGAUUGAGAUACGGCCCAGACUCCUACGGGAGGCAGCAGUCGAGAAUAGUCUACAAUGGUCGGAAGACUGAUAGUGCGACGCCGCGUGAACGAUGAAUCCCUUUCGGGGGUGUAAAAGUUCUUUUAUAUGUGAGCAGUGCUUCUUAUAUUUAACAGUAUGGGGAGAGAGAUAUUAGCAUAUGAAUAAGCAACGGCUAACUCCGUGCCAGCAGCCGCGGUAAAA
rnacentral:rRNA from 1 species